rnacentral:rRNA from 1 species
GAUGAACGCUGGCGACAGGCUUAACACAUGCAAGUCGAGGGGAAACGACGGGGAAGCUUGCUUCCCCGGGCGUCGACCGGCGCACGGGUGAGUAACGCGUAUCCAACCUGCCUCUGACUGAGGGAUAACCCGUCGAAAGUCGGCCUAAUACCUCAUGGCACCGUCCGCGGGCAUCCAACGACGAUUAAAGAUUCCAUCGGACAGGGACGGGUAUGCGUCUGAUUAGCUUGUUGGCGGGGUAACGGCCCACCAAGGCUACGAUCAGUAGGGGGUCUGAGGGUAAGCUCCACCACAUUGGAGCUGAGACACAGUCCACACUCCUACGGACGGCAGCGGUGUGUUAUAUUAGUCGCUGAGCGCGAACCUAAACCAGCCAAGUGGAGUGCCAGAUGACUGCGCUUUGGGUUGUAUACUACUGUUGAGCAGGGGUGUAGUGAUGAACGUGUCCUUCAUUGCCGGUACCGCAUGAAUAAGGACCGGCUAACUCCGUG